AAGAAAAGACGGAGAAUUGGAUUUUUCUUCUUCAUAGAGUUUUGGGAAGACUGAGGCAAUCGUUGCUGAAGUCAGUGUUGUAAUGGUGAAUCGAGAUUUUUUUAAUGAAGUGGGUUUGAUUACUCUUGACUGUUUUGUGAAAUCGAGUUACGUCUGUGAUUGAAGGAUUAAAAAGGUGUCUAUAGGAUUGAGUAUGCGGAGUGAAUGAAAUUUAUUAGGUUAAUCUAACAAGACAGUCAGUGGAUACAAGAUCGUAAGUACAAAG
rnacentral:lncRNA from 1 species